rnacentral:rRNA from 2 species
CGGGAAUAGAUAAGCGCUGAAAGCAUCUAAGUGCGAAACUAGCCACGAGAUGAGACUUCCUCAUAAGGGCCGUAGGAGAUGACUACGUCGAUAGGCUAUAGGUGUAGAGGUGGAAACACCACAGCCGAGUAGUACUAAUAGCCCGAAGCUUUCCA